UGAAGUAGAAUAGCAACUAAAGGGAGCCGACUGCGCAAGUAUUAAUAAUAAAUUUCCAGCUAGCCAGCCAGAGCCUCGUGUAAAGCGCUGCUAGCAUACAUCCAGGCCGAUGCGUGAGGUAACAAAACACUUCAAACCUCAUUAUAAGGAUUAUCGUGACGAUGAUAACAAGUAAUAAGCCAAUUUAUUAGUAAUAAACAAAAUAUGCCAUUAGCCGAGAAUACGCUUGGCCGGUUUCAUUUCCCGCCCAGUCGAAACCGCGGCCUUCAAUGGCGCCUGUAGAUGGUCAGACAUAAGCCCUUCCCGCCUUUACAAUUCCAUGCGCCUCGGGACCCCCAGAGCCCAGUAAGCCCCUGGCACAGCCCGGGAUCCCCGGAAACCCGCCGGCUUUAACGCAAUAAACAGGAAAUCGUUCGGAUGAUCUGGGUUCCGGGGGAAGUUGAAUUAUUUUUUACCACAGAAGAGAUCAACUUCCACAUCCGGUAGGGCCCGACACCAAACACUGACCUGGAAAAGAUUCGGAAGGAAAGUAGGUUCUGGCGGAGGGAUACAAUGUACAAGGCGACGACGCAGCUAGGUGGCGCAUGCGCUGAGAGGAAUCGAACUAGCGGCUUUUCAAGGAACUGUGGCUUCUUGAGGAGCUGCGAGUUCUGUUAUCACGUGACACGCGGGAAACGGUUGGUUGGUUGCGGCUUUUCGACUUGUCUUCAGCUUGUAACUGGAGACGUUGCCACAACCUCUUGAUGCUAGGCGUCAGUUGUUUUAUUUAAUUGUUCUGUCUAUACGAGCAUACAUGGUUAAGCAGCGAACUGUGUUAGACAGCCACACUAAGUGAUACUGACACUAAGAAAUGAAUUUUAGCAUAUGAAUGUACAUUAAAUGUUACCUAUAGGUCA